rnacentral:rRNA from 1 species
CGGCAAACGGGUGCGGAACACGUACACAACCUUCCUUUAAGCGGGGGAUAGCCCAGAGAAAUUUGGAUUAAUACCCCAUAGAAUGACGACGAGGCAUCUUGUUGUUAUUAAAGAUUUAUCACUUGAAGAUGGGUGUGCGUCUGAUUAGGUAGUUGGCGGGGUAACGGCCCACCAAGCCAUCGAUCAGUAACUGGUGUGAGAGCACGACCAGUCACACGGGCACUGAGACACGGGCCCGACUCCUACGGGAGGCAGCAGUAAGGAAUAUUGGUCAAUGGACGCAAGUCUGAACCAGCCAUGCCGCGUGGAGGAUGAAGGUCCUCUGGAUUGUAAACUUCUUUUAUUUGGGAAGAAAUGCAUCUUUUCUAAGGUGUUUGACGGUACCAGAUGAAUAAGCACCGGCUAACUCCGUGCCAGCAGCCGCGGUAAUACGGAGGGUGCAAGCGUUAUCCGGAUUCACUGGGUUUAAAGGGUGCGUAGGUGGGCAGUUAAGUCAGUGGUGAAAUCUCCGGGCUCAACCCGGAAACUGCCAUUG